rnacentral:rRNA from 1 species
AACGAACGCUGGCGGCAUGCCUAACACAUGCAAGUCGAACGAGACCUUCGGGUCUAGUGGCGCACGGGUGCGUAACGCGUGGGAACCUGCCCUUAGGUUCGGAAUAACUCCCCGAAAGGGGUGCUAAUACCGGAUAAUGUCUUCGGACCAAAGAUUUAUCGCCCUUGGAUGGGCCCGCGUUGGAUUAGCUAGUUGGUAGGGUAAAAGCCUACCAAGGCGACGAUGCAUAGCUGGUCUGAGAGGAGGAUCAGCCACACUGGGACUGAGACACGGCCCAGACUCCUACGGGAGGCAGCAGUAGGGAAUAUUGGGCAAUGGGCGAAAGCCUGAUCCAGCAAUGCCGCGGGAGUGAUGAAGGCCUUAGGGUUGUAAAGCUCUUUUACCCGGGAUGAUAAUGACAGUACCGGGAGAAUAAGCUCCGGCUAACUCCGUG